CCAACAGAGAAAGUGCUGUUCAUUUUUCCUAUCAGAGACAAACUGUACUGGCUGCCUGCAGUGCUGGCAAGACCUGAAGAGGCCGCAGAGGGAAAACUUUUACUUCUACCAGUUCCUCUCUCCUGCUAAUGGGAAGCUUGAAAUAACUGACCUGAAGGUGGUAGGAGGCAAGUACCGAGAGUCCACAGAAUGAAUGGAGAUCUGAAAACUUGCCUCAAAUAAUUUUAAAAGAUUUUCCUAGCAACAUGAAUAAGUGAGAGGAAAAAAGAAUACAUUAGAGCCUGUGAAAAUCAUAAUACGCAUCUUACCACAUUCUGGAUCGUGGUGGUGGCUGCAUUCUGUGCAAUGGCAUUUUGUAGAAAGACCAGCAGCACAGCCAAGUUUGCACACUUCAUCUUCUCAGCAAACAGGAGCACAGAGACAACCUGGGCCACAUCAUCUUCCUAACCCUGCUUCUAAACUCAGAUGGGGUGAAAGCAGCUCAAGCAUAGACCCUCAGAGAGGAAGCCAAUGUGACAAAGUCAAGAAUAGAAUCCAAGUCUUCAAAGUUCCAGCCCUUCUGCUUUAUAGGUAUGAUCUUAGGCCCACUGUAGUUAAUGGAAAGAUCCCACUGAUAUAAAUGAGCUUUGGAUCUGGCCCUAUUACCACUUGACUGCACUUUCCACUAGGGCCGAGGUGUUGUGUAGAUAGCCACAGGACAUGCUAUAUUCUGUGGACAGCACAAAUUGUUUUUCAUCAAUUCUUGGGACAUACAGUUCUCAAAAUCUGUCAGAUUUCUAUGUUUACCUUCUAUUGCUGACUUUGAAUAAGCACAUAGAUUUAUUUUGUAUUGAUUAACUCUAUUGCAAAUUUAGAGCUACACUGUUGGUUUAACUUAGUGCACAAAACAUUAUGCAGUCUAAACUAUGUGGGGGGAGGGAUAACUCAGUGGGUUGAGCAUUGGCCUCCUAAACCCAGGGUUGUGAGUUCAAUCCUUGAGGGGGCCACUUAGGGAUCUGGGGCAAAAUCAGUAUUUGGUCCUGCUAGUGAAGGCAGGGGGCUGGACUCAAUGACCUUGCAAGGUCCCUUCCAGUUCUAGGAGAUGGGAUAUCUCCAUUAAUUUAAUUUAAAAAAUCUGACAAGUGACAGCAGUUGGAACACAAACAAACUGGCAGCAUGGUAAUUGGGAGGACAAGGUAACUGAAAUAUUUGCUUGGCUGGUUCAUUUCUAAUCACAAACAGGCCACCCAAGGUGUUCCAAACGUUCUGCUUACUAUGCGGGAUUCUGUUUUAAUUGAGAAAAUUAUGGGCCCGAUUGUCCCAUCUGUCUUUGUGGGUGGAACGAAUGAAAAUUUGGUGGAUCUCUUGCUGAGAAGAGCAGAACAGUGAGGUGCUUCCUCUGUGGCCUUGUAGCUUCCCGUCUCCCAGCCUUCGUGGUAGUCCCUCCACAGGUACAUGGAUCCAUGCUGUUGUCAGGGGUAGGCAUAAGGGAGCAGGGCUUGGGAGAGGGUGGGAAAAUCAUAGUGUCUAUGCACCAUCCCCCACACCAGCACUAAGGAGAAUCCUCACCAAAGUGAAUAUUGACCAAUGACCUGAUCCAAACCCUCAUCCAAACACUCUCACUGUCUUCAGCAGGCCUUGAAUCAGGCUCCUAGUGAGUAUGAACUUUUGCACGCACCCUCUUUAGUCUGUGGAAUGUCCCCAAGGGAAUCUGGCAUUUAGGGGAGGCAGAAGCUUCCUGCCAAUGGGAGGGGGCAAAGGGAUAGGAGAGGGAGUGAAGAGCAGUGCUCAUCGGGGGAAAGGAGAGGCAGGCGGCUCCAGGCUGGGAAGGAGGGUUUCAGGUGUUCCCACCUGCUCCUGGGCUCAUUCCAGCUCCUCUGGGUCCCUGCUCCCUGGCCCCACGGCAGCCACUCCAGCCACUCUGCAUCCUGCUCUCGCCUCCAUCCCUCUGUCCCUUUCUCCCCCCACAGACGUGUAAGUUUACCUGGGGAUGGAGCCCCCACAAUAUUUCCAUUGCAGGGACGUCAGCCCGCCCCCUCCCAUCUCCACCCCCGGUUCUGCCACCCCUGCUGCCACCAGCAGGUGGAGGAAAACCCUGACAAGAAAGCAUAUUUUUAUUUGAAGGUGCAAGAUGUUUUUAAAUGACUCCUAAGCACAGGUGCAAAAGCAUUUUUAAUCUAGUGACAAGCCAGCGUGCAGGUUAGCCUGACACUAAGGUUAAUUGUUUAAUAUUUACACAGCAGCUCAUAUAUAUAUAACCCUACUUAAAUGAAAUAAAUUACAAUAAGCAGCUUUGUUGCCAGCUUUCCUUGGACCAGAAGGCUGUAAUACACACUGUAGUUACUGAAAAGAAGACCAAAGCCCCUAUCAGACAGCCGCAAAUACAAGUACACAAACUACCAAGCAGCCCCAAGUGUAAAAGUGACAGCCCAGCAGAAGAAGUCUCAAAGUAUGAACUCCAGGAAACAAAAUAAUUAAAAGCAGAGUGGCUUAAAUGGGACUUAAGCACAUGCUUAAAAUUAGUACAAGCUUAAGUGCUUUUAUGUAGCUGGCCUGGAGAGAUCUGACAAAGGGAAGAUGAGAAAGGAGGAGGAAGGGGGUGGAAAACACAUUGAGAAGGAUCAACUGAAGGAAUGGUGACCUAUACCAAUUUGAUUCAUUAUACUUCAUUAUUAUGAAUACGUAAGAUCUUAAACUUUCUGUGUAAGGAUAAGUAAUGUCCCCGAAGCUUCAGUUGGCAUCUAGAAUUUGAUCUAACACAGGCUGUAACCAUCUGUGUUGGCAUCUAGGUUUCUGGGCAGAUGAGCCUUCUGUGGAUGUCCUAGUCCAGUGUUCUGGCCACCCUAUUGGCCUUGUUAUGUGCCUGAUGAGUAGAGCUAGCUGAAAAUUGGAGGGAAAAAAUCAUAGAAAGGUGUCCCUUUUUUCAUCAAAAAAUAUGUAUUUUGAAAUGUUUUGACCAGUUCCACUGGUGAGUCACAAAGGCAGUGACAGAUCCAACCCAUUCACUGCAUGUAAAAUCCUUCUGCCAGACCCUCUCGAGAGCUGCGGGAAGGCAUUCAUUAAAGUCACAGUUCCAACCCCAUUCCCUAUCUAGCCACUUCUGCAAAUGGGGUGUUAAUGGCAGAUCCUUAGAAUUUCCCGGCUUAAGGUAAAAGCCGUUGAAACAUAUUUUGUCAGUCUCAGGAUUCAGAGUCCCAUUUUAUUUAGGAGGUCUCUUGGACCUUUCUACCCCUUUUGCAGGAUGUGGCUUGCGUUCUGCAUGAGGAUAAUGACUUUAUCCAGGGGAAUUCUGUCUGAGUUAUCAUGCUCUGUUUUAACCCUUAAAGAGAGAGUUCCUCAAGGUCUAACUGCCCCGGCAUAGUAUGGUCAUCAUUACCACUGCGUUCUAUGGUGGUAAGACAUGUUCUAUAGUUCAGUAUUCUUACUCUGCUCAAAGUUUACCUAAAAAUUAAGGCCUAUAAGAUCAUUUAUAUCCGUGUUGUGUAUGAUUAAUUCCUGUUAUGUUUAUUAAUCUCUUCAGCUCUGUUUGAGAAUGACAUUUUUACCCUGGGUCAGUGUUAUAAGUUCCUGGACCAGUGCCCUCUUUUGGGAGUAUUCAUACUGCUUCAAUUUGUUGGCAUCAAGAGACAAUUCCCUUCAACUAGAGACCAUAGAGUCAUAGAAUCAUAGAAUAUCAGGGUGGAGGAGAGUCCAAUCCCCUGCUCAAAGCAGAACCAACACUAACUAAAUCAUCCCAGCCAAGGCUUUGUCAAGCCGGGCCUUAAA